rnacentral:rRNA from 2 species
CAACUUUCAACAAUGGAUCUCUUGGCUCUCGCAUCGAUGAAGAACGCAGCGAAAUGCGAUACGUAAUGUGAAUUGCAGAAUUCAGUGAAUCAUCGAAUCUUUGAACGCACCUUGCGCCCCUUGGCAUUCCGAGGGGCACACCCGUUUGAGUGUCGUGA